GAGAGGAAGGUCCCCCACACUGGUACUGAGACACGGACCAGACUCCUACGGGAGGCAGCAGUGAGGAAUAUUGGUCAAUGGGCUUACGCCUGAACCAGCCAAGUCGCGUGAGGGAAGACUGCCCUAUGGGUUGUAAACCUCUUUUGUCAGGGAGCAACGCCGGCUACGUGUAGCCGGACUGAGAGUACCUGAAGAAAAAGCAUCGGCUAACUCCGUGCCAGCAGCCGCGGUAAUACGGAGGAUGCGAGCGUUAUCCGGAUUUAUUGGGUUUAAAGGGUGCGUAGGCGGAAUGCCAAGUCAGCGGUAAAAUCGCGGGGCUCAACCUCGCUCCGCCGUUGAAACUGGCGUUCUUGAGUGGGCGAGAAGUAUGCGGAAUGCGUGGUGUAGCGGUGAAAUGCAUAGAUAUCACGCAGAACUCCGAUUGCGAAGGCAGCAUACCGGCGCCCAACUGACGCUGAAGCACGAAAGCGUGGGUAUCGAACAGGAUUAGAUACCCUGGUAGUCCACGCAGUAAACGAUGAAUACUAGCUGUUCGGGGCAAAUGAGCCUUGAGUGGC
rnacentral:rRNA from 1 species